AACAACUGAAAACAGCACAAAACAUGUUACAACCACGACAGCAAACAAUGAUACUUCAACAAAACUACAAUAUUGGUUGAGGUUCAUCAUUGUGUUUGUGGGUUUAGCAGCACUCAUAAUAAUUGUUGUGGCAGUCAACAUCUGGACAAGACCUAAAGGUGAAUAAUGAUGAAGAUGACGGCGUGGUGACCUAUGAAAACUUUGGAGACCCUUCUGCCUCUAUCAGACUCCGCUGAUCAAAAACUUCCGCAUCAACAUAAACCCAUCAGAGAAAACUGCAGACCAAUAACAGCACAUUGACACGAGUAGUUGAAACCUGUAGAUGACAUUUUACUGUUGACUUCAUUAAAGGUUCAGUAUGCACGUUUUAGUGGUAACGUUUGCACAUUGCAACUCUAGACUGUAGAUAGCAACCAGCAGCUCAGUCACGUCUCAACCGUCCCUUUCUAAGCAGGUAUGAGCAGCUACGGUGGCCAACACGCGCCGUCAGGUCUUUUAUGCUAAACAAUACAUGUGGUCCUCCAUUUGUAUAAAUUUCAUGUUUCUUUUUACUUCUAACAAACCAGACCACUAUUACUACUGCUUUUCUUCUUCUUGUACUUGUACAUAGCCACGAAACACAAUCUGUAGAGCAGUUUGUCCAUUUCGGCUACUAUAGAAACAUAGAGGCGCAACACUUAAGUGGACCUGCAGUGUAUUUAGAUACAACUGACUCAUUCUAAAGGGGGAAAAAACAUAAUGGUUCAUUUUGUAAGGUCUUUGUAGACCACUGAAAACAAAGUUAUGUAUAUUAUAUUGCAUUUCUGUCAGUAGAUACUCCUAAAUAUAAAACACUGAACCUUCAAAUCGUCUUCCAGCUGAAGAAUUCAGACCUGAAAUUAAGGUUUACUGUUUGUUUUUGAAGCUACAGCUGCUUGACCUCCG